UACGGGGGGAGCAAGCGUUGUUCGGAUUUACUGGGCGUAAAGGGCGCGUAGGCGGCCACCGCAAGUCGACUGUGAAAUCUCCGGGCUUAACUCGGAAAGGUCAGCCGAUACUGCGGGGCUAGAGUGCAGAAGGGGCAACUGGAAUUCUCGGUGUAGCGGUGAAAUGCGUAGAUAUCGAGAGGAACACCUGCGGCGAAGGCGGGUUGCUGGGCUGACACUGACGCUGAUUAUGCGAAAGCUAGGGGAGCGAACGGG
rnacentral:rRNA from 1 species